GGAACGGUAUUUAGUCUCAUUUUGUAUGACAUGGUUGGUACCAAUGAAUUCCUUAGUUUUUGUAGUUUCACAUAAUGCCAGUACACUCACUUUUGCAUUAAGGCAUUGAAUAAAUUGGUGGCGUUAAAACAAAUUUGCGUUAAAACGUUAUAACUUUCACAGCCCUAGUAAAAACUUUUUUAGCAAUAUUUCAAGAUUUUUUUCGAAUUUUCGGCGUUUCCACCCAGGUUUUUUUUUCAUGUGCAAAUCAAAAAUGUGCAUCAACACAUGGUGGAUAGAAAUGCACCUCGAGGCAUUUUAUCGUUUCCAUUGUUCUCCUCGCCUCUUUAAUCCUCAUCUUAACCUUUCUGUCUCUUUUAAUGUGGGUCAAAUUGAUAGUGCUUUCACAGAUACAAACAUUUGAGAGCCGUUAUUGGGGAAGUCUUGACGAGCCUCGACCGUGACAAAAAAAAUCUUGGAGAAAAACCCGUGCAGGAACGUCAGAGGUUAACAAAGUGGCAAAGAGGUGGUGGGGGGGGGGGGGGAGAUGAGAGUUGUCACAUAAAUGGAGGAGAGAACAAGAGAGGAGAGAGGAGCGCUUUCUGACAGCAGAGUGCCUGUCUGUCAAUCAUUCUUGUUGCCAUGGUGACAGAGAGGAUUGCAUUAACAUGGAAAUGACACAUUAGCUGCCAUUAAAGCCCAGCUGACUCCAUACCUGCCAUGACACAUGACCCUUCUGCUCACAAGCAGCCCCGCAGUACACCAACCAGCUCGUCCUCCCAGCAAGCACAGCUGGCUCACAUGCAUGUGUGCGUGCGCGUCUGGUCGUCCGUGUUUGCAUGUUGAGCAGUCAGAGAGCGUUGUUGAGGAAACAACAGGGUUGAUAAUUGGACAUGUCCGUCGAACGCCCGCAAACAAGUCCCCCCCCCCUCCCUACCGCGGAGCUAUAAACAUGUAAAUGAGAACAACGCCACUCUCCUCCCCGUUCCGCUUCCUCGUCCGUCCCCCUCCAUUCCAUCACCCAUCACUCCGUCCACGCCGCAAUCAGCAUGUGCGGGAGAGCAGGACAUGUCGUCUGGUUUGGUCCUAGCGGGGACACUGGCUGAAUAUAUGCAGGCAGGGGGGGCUCUGCAUGGUGAUUAACAUGUCUGGCAGGGGACAGCAUGUGUUAGGACAGACACACAGGAAGGUGAUGGACAACUUAUCUGUUGGAGUUGAAACAAACAAGAACAGACAGUUUUUUUUUACCCUUGUACACAUUUCAAUAAACACAAAGAAGGAUGCUGAUAAAAGGCAAACAAAACAAAAAAAAAAGUAUUUUCUGUGGCAACCUUGUUUUUAUUCCUGUUAUGCAGCAACAUUUCU